CAAGUCGCACGAGAAAGUCCUUCGGGAUGAGUAGAGUGGCGCACGGGUGAGUAAUACAUGGGAACGUGCCUCUGAAUGGGGGAUAACUACGGGAAACUGUAGCUAAUACCGCAUAGAAACGGGAGUUUAAAGCUGGCCUCUAUUUAUAAGCUAGUGUUCAGAGAUCGGCCCAUGUCCCAUUGGCUAGUUGGCGGGGUAAAAGCCCACCAAGGCGACGAUGGGUAGCUGGUCUGAGAGGACGAUCAGCCACACUGGAACUGAGACACGGUCCAGACUCCUACGGGAGGCAGCAGUGGGGAAUUUUGCACAAUGGGGGAAACCCUGAUGCAGCAACGCCGCGUGAGUGAAGAAGGCCUUUGGGUUGUAAAGCUCUUUCGGCUGAGAAGAAGGGCUGUAUGGCUAAUAUCCAUAUAGUUUGACGGUAUCAGAAGAAGAAGCACCUGCUAACUUCGUGCCAGCAGCAGCGGUAAUACGAAGGGUGCAAGCGUUGUUCGGAAUUACUGGGCGUAAAGGGCGCGUAGGCGGGUUUGUAAGUCGAAUGUGAAAUCCCCGGGCUUAACCCGGGACGUGCAUUCGAUACUGCUGAUCUUGAAUGCUUGAGAGGGUGGUGGAAUUCCUAGUGUAGAAGUGAAAUUCGUAGAUAUUAGGAGGAACACCGGAGGCGAAGGCGGCCACCUGGCAAGACAUUGACGCUAAGGCGCGAAAGUGCGGGGAGCAAACAGGAUUAGAUACCCUGGUAGUCCGCACCAUAAACGAUGGAUACUAGAUGUUUGGAGAAUUAACCCUCUGAGUAUCAAAGUUCACACAUUAAGUAUCCCGCCUGGGGAGUACGGCCGCAAGGCUGAAACUCAAAGGAAUUGACGG
rnacentral:rRNA from 1 species